rnacentral:lncRNA from 1 species
CUGCUUUUCGAUGGAUUAUGGAGCUAUUGUUACCUCGGGUUUAGUCUUCUCAGCAUACUUAGACGAUCUCGGAUACCUACAUAUCUUUUCAUUUCACACUCAGACACUUCACAUUUGAUACUUUCAUGCUUUCUAUUUUACUAGAGCCUGAUCAUUACCUUCUUUUAUCUGACACAUUCCACCGUGACACAUGACCUCACUCCUUUCUCGAUUAGGAGGAGAUGUAGAUCAGUCCUCGAUCACCUUGGUUGUGCUUUUAUACAUCUUUUGGACUUUAGGUUCAACAUCUUCC